rnacentral:rRNA from 1 species
UAAGACGUAGGGGGCUAGCGUUACCCGGAAUCACUGGGCGUAAAGGGCGUCUAGGCGGUUCGGCAAGUCGUCUGUGAAAGCCCCUGGCUCAACUGGGGGAGGUCGGGCGAUACUGCCGAGCUAGAGGGCGGCAGAGGAAGGUGGAACGGCCGGAGUAGCGGUGAAAUGCGUAGAUACCGGCCGGUAUCCCGAUGGCGAAGGCAACCUUCUGGGCCGUUCCUGACGCUGAAGCGCGAAAGCGUGGGGAGCGAACCGGAUUAGAUACCCGGGUAGUCCACGCCCUAAACGAUGUGGGCUAGGUGUUGGCCGGUCAUUCGGUCGGUGCCGCAGCUAACGCGUUAAGCCCACCGCCUGGGGAGUACGGCCGCAAGGCUG